AGAAGAAGUCCUGGCUAACUCCGUGCCAGCAGCCGCGGUAAUACGGAGAGGGCUAGCGUUAUUCGGAAUUAUUGGGCGUAAAGGGCGCGUAGGCGGAUUAGUAAGUUAAAAGUGAAAUCCCAAGGCUCAACCUUGGAAUUGCUUUUAAAACUGCUAAUCUAGAGAUUGAAAGAGGAUAGAGGAAUUCCUAGUGUAGAGGUGAAAUUCGUAAAUAUUAGGAGGAACACCAGUGGCGAAGGCGUCUAUCUGGUUCAAAUCUGACGCUGAGGCGCGAAGGCGUGGGGAGCAAACAGGAUUAGAUACCCUGGUAGUCCACGCUGUAAACGAUGAAUGUUAAAUAUGGGAAGUUUUACUUUCUGUAUUACAGCUAACGCGUUAAACAUUCCGCCUGGGGACUACGGUCGCAAGAUUAAAACUCAAAGGAAUUGACGGGGACCCGCACAAGCGGUGGAGCAUGUGGUUUAAUUCGAUGCAACGCGAAAAACCUUACCACUCCUUGACAUGGAAAUUAUACCUAUUCGAAGGGAUAGGGUCGGUUCGGCCGGGUUUCACACAGGUGUUGCAUGGCUGUCGUCAGCUCGUGUCGUGAGAUGUUGGGUUAAGUCCCGCAACGAGCGCAACCCUCAUCCUUAGUUACCAUCAGGUAAUGCUGGGGACUUUAAGGAAACUGCCAGUGAUAAACUGGAGGAAGGUGGGGAUGAUGUCAAGUCAUCAUGGCCCUUAUGGAGUGGGCUACACACGUGCUACAAUGGUGGCUACAAUGGGCUGCAAAGUCGCGAGGCUAAGCCAAUCCCUUAAAAGCCAUCUCAGUUCGGAUUGUACUCUGCAACUCGAGUGCAUGAAGUUGGAAUCGCUAGUAAUCGUGGAUCAGCACGCCACGGUGAAUACGUUCUCGGGUCUUGUACACACUGCCCGUCACGCCAUGGGAAUUGGUUUCACUCGAAGCUAACGACCUAACCGCAAGGAGGGA
rnacentral:rRNA from 1 species